UCUCGGCCGCCGCCAUUUUGUCGGCCGCUGCCGCCGCCCGCCUCCAUCCGCCGCCAUCCGCCGUUGGAGCCGCCGUUAACGCCGCCGCCGCCCGCCGGGACUGAGCGGGGCGGCCCCGCGCCGCCAUGAGGGCCAAGUGGCGCAAGAAGCGAAUGCGCAGGCUGAAGCGCAAGAGGAGGAAGAUGCGGCAGAGGUCCAAGUAGGCGCCGCGCCCGGCCCCGGAGCCCCGGAGCGGAGGAGCCGCGGGGGAGCAGCACGGGGAGCUGGCGGCGGGGCCGCGUGGGGACCGGGGCUGCGCUGUGUAACGGCCCCGGGGCCGCCAAUAAAGCUUGGAUGUGUUCGUUGGA